GUGGAGCAUGUGGCUUAAUUUGACUCAACGCGGGAAAUCUUACCGGGUCCGGACACACUGAGGAUUGACAGGCAAUAAAUUAAAAUAUAUUAUAUAUAUUUUAUGUUAAAUAUGCUAGUCCUUUCAUGAUUAUGUGAUAGGUGGUGCAUGGCCGUUCUUAGUUCGUGGAGUGAUCUGUCUGCUUAAUUGCGUUUCACUAAGGGCUUAUUAAUUUAACGUGUGUUGUUAGGCGUUAACUUUGACCCCUAAUUUUAAUAAAAUUAGUGCGUGUCUUAGUUUUUAUUGCUUUUAACUCACACAAUUAAGUCCUGAAAGCAACGAACGUGACCGCAACCUCUUGUUGCCUUUAUAUUUUUUUAUUU
rnacentral:rRNA from 1 species